AAGAUCCGGGAGCAGAAAAUAAAAUCAACAAGUUGCAUUUCAGUCUGUUCCUCACACAAACUUUUCGUAUGACUUCAGAUGACAUGAAAUAUAGCACAAGAUUCUUAUAGACCACUUUUAUGGUGCUUUGCGUUCUUUUUGAAGCUUGAAAGCUUCAAACUUCCCUGUUAUUGCAUGGAAAACAGUGAACAUUAUGGAUGUUUCUCCAUUGGUGAUUAAUAGAAGAAAGGAAGUCAUGUGGGUUGGGAACAACAUCGUGAGUGGACAAUGAAGCAGGAGAAGGACAGAAGGAAGGACUCACCAAGGAUCUGUAUGUUGGUUCCAGGAGGUGCUAGGUGCUGCUGGAUGGUCUCAUAGAAAGUGGCCUCACACAUCAGCAGGACUGUCACACUGACCCACACCCACACCAGCCACGACAUCCCAACACUCCUCUGAAGAUAGACAGAGAGAGCAGUCGCCACAGGAAACUGCAGUAUUUUGACAUGGAUGGAGCUCUCCAUGAGUGAAACAGGAUCACGCAUCCUCAUCAUCUCAUAGCCGUUGCUGACACAACCUGUAUGACAUGCGCUGUUGGUCAGGUGAGAUAUUAUCCUAAAGGGAGCGUCCAUGAAGUCCAUACAUCGCAUAAUGAAGGUGAAGGGACCCGAAAUGUCAUCUAUCUAACUAAAUCAUUCACAACACGCAGUACUGGUAGGAAGUUUGCCAUACAAACUUUGCCCUAUAUAGGCUACCUGUGAUCCCAUUAGAAACAAUGCAACAUUGGAUGAUAAAUGAGGUAAUUUCAAAUUGUGCAUGAUUUCCAACAAAAAGAGCCAAUUUGACAAAGAAGAUAGGAGAUAGGAGAGCUAAUCUGUUCCCUCUCCUCAAAAUGAUUCAUUCACUGAAGAACACUUGAAAUGUGUAACAAUCAUCUUGUUUCCACAGAGCUGGCUGUACAGUUUUGUGUAAUUGACUGAAUAGUUUUAGUUUCAGAGAUAGGUUUCAUGAAAAACACCUUUUUGCAACCAUAAUGAUUUGAGAGCAAAGGCAUAUUAAAAUUAGAGAAGAUCUCCUUCUCAAGUUUCCCCCUUCUGUUUCUAUUGACGUAAGCACUAUAAAAAUAAAGAAUGCAAAGGUUGUACUACUUUGUUUGAUAUACUUGGAUUGGAAAUGUUAUUGUCCAUAAUGUAAAUAGCCUAAUAAUGUAAGAAUUGUGAAAAAGUACUUGCACAAAUGUGUACAAUUACAAUACAUCAUUAUUAAUACAGUAUAAUGUAGUGCAUGAACUAGUGCAUUGCACUGAAAAAAAAAAACUUUGAAAAAGUAAAU